AUUGAACGCUAGCGGGAUGCCUAACACAUGCAAGUCGAACGGAAUGGCGAACGGGCGGGUAAUGAAUGGGAACGGGCCCAGUAGCGGGGGAUAACUACGCGCAAGCGUAGCUAAUUACGCCUAUUAUUGGAGCGGCCGAUAUGGGAUUAGCUAGUUGGUGGGGUAACGGCUGACCAAGGCGACGAUCCGUAGCUGGUUUGAGAGGACGACCAGCCACACUGGGACUGAGACACGGCCCAGACUCCUACGGGAGGCAGCAGUGGGGAAUUUUGGACAAUGGGGGAAAGCCUGAUCCAGCCAUCCCGCGUGUAUGAAGAAGGCCUUAGGGUUGUAAAGCACUUUUAGCAGGAAAGCGGUACCUGCAGAAGAAGCACCGGCUAACUACGUGCCAGCAGCCGCGGUAAUAC
rnacentral:rRNA from 1 species